CUGUUUUCCUCACCUUCCUCACCAUCUAAACUAGAUCUUGUUAAAGGUGGCAAUGGAUCCAAGUGAAAAACUACAGAUAGAGGUGGCCACAUGCCCCAGGUAAGAACAUUCUACAAUCAAUGACUAAUUUGUAUUUCCUAAGAAAACCACAAGUCAUUCACCACAAUAUAUUUAGUAUGAAUUUCUGAAUGCCCUGGACAACUUGGGGGCCAUCUAUUAUAGAACCCUACAUCAUGUUUCAUGGUAUUUCUUUAUUCUCACCUCUGCGGACUGAUGAGUCUGAGAAUGGGCCGGCUGCAGCAUUGUUGUCAUCUUGGGUGGUCUCCUCUGAAAUUU